AUUACUUCCUCCCGUUACACGCUACCACUACCGUUCCGCAAGAUAUCGAUAAAUACAUUCUAAUGGGCUAAUUAAAGGGUUUAAUACGACACUAAAUAUGAAUAAGCUAAUGGGCAAGGUGAUUAUUAUACACACUUUUCUCAUCCCCAACAUUUCCUACUCGUCUAAAGAUUUACAAAAUACUUCAUCAUUAUUGUUGCUCUCCUAUCACCACCACCAACCUCAAGUCAACAACGAAACCAAUUAAGCCCCCAAUACCAAAACAAUACCAACCAUCCCAUCCUCAUCAUCCCCGGUUUGCAUACAUAUGCAUCCACGCUGGAACAUAAAUAUCCACCUCUACCUCUAGGUAAAAGCAGGCUGUGCACAUUUAGUUAGUGGCGCAGGCGAGACGACACAUAUUAUUCUACUCUCCUCUCUCCUCUCUGAUGACUUGUAGCAUUACUUAGCAGGGUAAUAAUUGUGAAGGUGAUUAAGUAUGCCGGGACACGUGAUGCGACGAUAUAUAAGUGGCAGGGAGGCAGUGAUCGAGCCAACAUUAAUUCGAAACAGCUCUCCACCUACACUCUCUUCGCUCUCUCUCUCUCCGAAUAUUCAGCACUACAUAAUAAAAUAAAACACAAGUAUACAUACAUAAGAGAAGCCUGGCAGGUUUGGCAGACAGACAAGCAACACAAUUUAUCCAUCCAUCCAUAUGCAGAGUAAAGUGUAGAGUUUAACUUUCAAAUGGAAAUUAUCAUACCAAAUUCCUUGUACAAAUAGAACACUCACAUUUUAACACCGAGUAUCACUUGACUUUUAAGUUUUACAUCUUCUCUGCCACUUCAUCUCUCAGGCUCACCUUGCUUAGAUCUAAAUAUCUUUCUAUUCACCUCACGGAUUUGGUGGUUUGGUUUUGUGUGUGUGUGUUUCUUCUGUGUUCGCAGAUUGAGAUCAAGUUUUUGGUUCAAUUUCUCUCAAAAUUUUAUCUACUUCUUUGACUUUUAUCUUUUUUAACAUGAUUUCCAAAGUUGGUGAAAGUUACGAAAUUUUCUCUGGAAGAAAGAAAUUGUAAAUUGUGUGGUAAAUUAAUUUACGAGGUAUUUCUUUCUCCUUAAUCUUUCCACUAAUACGGACACAUUCAUCUCUUCUUCUAUACUAUUUCUUCUUAAGAGUAACUAACUUUUCGUCUCAUCUCAUCCACUCAACUAAAACUGCACAGUAGAUCGAGCCGAGCGAGGUGAGGUGGAUGAAAAAGCUACCCCAAAAAAUAUUUCACUUUACCCGGAUGAGAAUCGUGGUAGUGGAGAAACAUGACAAAGUUGCUACCCUGGCUGGCUUCGAGUGAAAAUCGUGAAGUUAGAAGAAGACCCUUGGGACUUGGUCGGUCGGGGACGGACGGUGAAAGAAGAAGAGACGGUGAAAGUUAUAGUACAAGUGUUCUAAUCAACUGACUGGACCGCUACAUACUUCCCACACGACUUUUGUUCUGUCGCCGUGUCUGAUGAUGAUGCCCACCUGAGACAAAUUAUUCUUUAUGGUUAUUGCUCAUUUAAGUGUGAAAAUGAGACGAUGCUCGUGGUGGUGGUGGGUGUGAUGAAAUGAAGGGUGAGGAACCACGACCACAUACAUUUUCUUAAUCUCGAAAUGGAUGGACCGGACUUUUCGUGGUGGACGAGCUUUAACCUCGAAGAGAGCAAUCCGUCGACAGUUUAGACCAAACACUGUCAUGGAGACGCUCUCUUUAAGGUGAAAUGCUACAAUCGACACGAUCAGAAAAGAAGCUACCAAUACGACAAGAUACGAGUAGAUACCAAUACGAUAAAGAAAUAUUCUCCAUCGUGCUAAAUUUAGUUACUUAUAUAAUGAUUGAUUUAUUUACUGAUUAUUAGUAAAAUUAACUCGACAUGAUUGAUUAAAGUGACUUAUGUAUAAAAGAUUCAAUAAAAGAAGUAAAAUUAUUAUCCUCGCAAAA